CCUACGGGAGGCUGCAGUGGGGAAUAUUGGACAAUGGGGGGAACCCUGAUCCAGCCAUGCCGCGUGUGUGAAGAAGGCCCUCGGGUUGUAAAGCACUUUCAGUGAGGAAGAACGCCUGGUGGUUAAUACCCAUCAGGAAAGACAUCACUCACAGAAGAAGCACCGGCUAACUCCGUGCCAGCAGCCGCGGUAAUACGGAGGGUGCGAGCGUUAAUCGGAAUUACUGGGCGUAAAGCGCGCGUAGGUGGCUUGAUAAGCCGGUUGUGAAAGCCCCGGGCUCAACCUGGGAACGGCAUCCGGAACUGUCAAGCUAGAGUGCAGGAGAGGAAGGUAGAAUUCCCGGUGUAGCGGUGAAAUGCGUAGAGAUCGGGAGGAAUACCAGUGGCGAAGGCGGCCUUCUGGACUGACACUGGCACUGAGGUGCGAAAGCGUGGGUAGCAAACAGGAUUAGAUACCCGGGUAGUC
rnacentral:rRNA from 1 species